GUCCACGCCCUAAACGUUGGGCACUAGGUGUGGCGACCUAACCAACGGUUGCCGUGCCGAAGCUAACGCAUUAAGUGCCCCGCCUGGGGAGUACGGCCGCAAGGCUAAAACUCAAAGGAAUUGACGGGUCCCCGCACAAGCGGCGGAGCAUGCGGCUUAAUUCGAUGCAACCCGAAGAACCUUACCUGGGCUUGACAUCAUGGGAAAAACCGUAGAAAUACGGUGUGCGCAAGCGUCCAUGACAGGUGGUGCAUGGCUGUCGU
rnacentral:rRNA from 1 species